rnacentral:lncRNA from 1 species
GCCUGGCUGUGGGAGGAGAAAAGGCUCCAUAUUGAAUAGUAUUUAUCUACCCAGUGACUGGGCUGGAGAGGCAGUGGUGUCUCUGUAUAUAAAUGAUGAAACUGUGACUUAGAGAGGCUUAGUAAACUGCCUGAUGCACACAACUACGUGCAGUGAUGAAUAUGAGAGUCAAACUUGGAUUUGCUCCAAAGUCUUUGUUCCUUCCGUGGCAGUAAAGCAAAGGAGAAGAGAAAGAUGGCCAGGUGAAAAAGGGGCACUGCCAAGCAAGUCUCAAGGAAAUGUGCACCCUCCACAGGAAGUUUUAUUAUUGGCUUCUGGGGAAGUGGUAAGUUUGCAAAUAUCAUCACACAUUUAAGUGCAUUCUUAAGACACAUGUGACAGCUUGACAUUUGGGAGAGAAAUUCUGCUGGUUUCUAAGUUCCGAGUCUGCCAUGAAAUGUCUGUGGAACCUGGGUUAAAACAUGUCAUUUUCUGACUCUCAGUUUCUUCUGUGUAAAACAAAACGGAUGGAUGAUGUACAAAAUGAGGUUCUCCAAUUCUUUUAUGAGACAGGCACUUAAGCACAUUGUUGUGCUCUGGUAGGGAAAUCUUUCUGUCUACAAAGACCUCAAAGAGGACACAAGGGUAGUGUUCUCUGCUAUGAAGUGGAUUCAGUGGAAGGACUUGAUCAUAUUCUGAGAUACUUCAGCAUUUUUGCCUUCUGUAAAUUCUUCACCUAUGAAACAGGUUAGAGCAGGAAGGAAAAUGGCAAUUGUAGGUUUAGGACAGAGUGGAGCAAACCUUUCUUGUUUCUCUUGGGGAUUAGCUUCAAGGAUGGAGGGAGGGUAUUGAUACUGACAACAGAGACACACUCUUAUCUGAAAUUCAGAUCAAAUGAUUCCACCCUGUAGAGCAUUCCAUGACAAUGGCCUUUCCAGGAGCAUGAAUCUAUACACAGCCCAGUAGUUAAUUUCAAUCAGCAGGCUUUGCUGGUAUUGCUGCUCCCAUUUUAGAUUUACAAAGCCAUUCUUGAUGAAGACAAUAAAAGCCUCCUGUCCCUCUGGUAUUGCAUUAUGCUCUGACACUUUAUCAGGGCACACAGACAGACGGUUGUUCUAAACCAUAUAUAAAAUGGAGCAAGCUCACAAAUCAUGCUUUGAUAUUGCACUGUGCAAACACCAAGGUUAAAAGGUAAAUCUGUGCUGUAACCGUAUUGAUUAAUUGAUGUUAAGAAAGGUCAGAUUAAUCUUUAUCUUGCUUGAAAAACUCUAGUUCUCCAUGGCAGGGCUGUUGAAAUGGUUCCUGUAUAAAAAGAUAAAAACAACAAUAAGAACUGGAACCUUAAUGCAAAAAAAGUGAGGGAAAACUCACCUAAUAAUCACUCAGAAAAUGUUAGUGAAAGGAACCCUAGUGGAGAGACAAUGGGGAAAUCUCAUCAGUCGCUCAGGUAGUUAAAGCACUGAAACAGGGACUGGAAAGUGGAAGUUAUUGCGUUUUCUGUGUAUUUGGGAUAGGCUUCCUUGGAAACACCUUCACUAGUGAAGCAAUUGUAGAAGUAAAAAUAAUGACUUUAGAUAAUAGCCUUAAGCCUGUUCCAAGAAGGCCAGACAAGAGAGGAGAGCUUCUACUCCUUUUUUCCAAUAGGAUUGAAAUCAGUUGAAGUAAAAUACCUAACUUUCCUGACCUUCAGGUCCUGCCCAGGUGAAAAACUGGCACAUAACAUUUCUUAUAAGAUCGUUUCUGUAUCCCCAGGGCCUGGUGGGAAAGGGAAAUCAUCUCUUCCACAUAUGGAGAUGCACAGACAACUUAAGAACUUAAGAACAACUUGCCCAACCUACUUCUGGUUCAAAUGAUAAAACCGGGUUUGAAGGCUAAAAUUUAGGGUUUUGAGAAAACCAAGAAAAAAAUAAGGAAGGAUUAGUGGCUAAAUCUAUCUAAGAGUGGAAGAAGAAAAAAAAAA